rnacentral:lncRNA from 1 species
GCCGCCGUUACCGCGGUGACCGCGGGGCCGCCGCUCCAGAAGGUUCCCGGGAUCGGGAAUCGGGAAAAUUCCCGGGAAUCGGGAAAAUUCCCGGAAAUCGGAUAAAUUCCCGGAAAUUCGGGAAAAUACGAGAAUUGCAGGAGUCGCGGCCUCGCUGUGCCACGGGAUGGCAGUAAAAUAAAGCUGCGGGCUCUUCCCGGCGCCUGGAAACCGGCGGGACAGAAAGCAUCAGGAGGCUGGAGCGAGAGAUCACCUGGGCAGUCCUGGGGUCACCCUUUCCCUGGCAGUGUUCCCUGCCCACCGUCACUCCCCAGAAACAUUCCAGCCUGGAGUGAAUCCCAAAGCCCUGGCUGGGAUCUGGGGGAAUUCCAGCAACUGGCAGCAGGAUCAGUGCUCACCUGGUACUGAGAUGUGCGGAGAUGUUGUCAUUCCUCUUGGAUGUCUCCUCUCCACUUUGGGCCAAAUCCCUGCAGCGUGAUGGAUCCUGAUGGAACAAGGAUCUCCUCUCAUGGAAACAUUCCAGACUUUUCUAAUCCCACCUGGU